UACGAGGGGGGCAAGCGUUGUUCGGAAUUAUUGGGCGUAAAGGGUGCGUAGGUGGUGAGGUAAGUCGGAUGUGAAAUCUCCGAGCUCAACUCGGAAAUGGCAUUGGAAACUACCUUGCUAGAGGGUUGGAGGGGGGACUGGAAUACUUGGUGUAGCAGUGAAAUGCGUAGAUAUCAAGUGGAACACCAGUGGCGAAGGCGAGUCCCUGGACAACUCCUGACACUGAGGCACGAAAGCUAGGGGAGCAAACAGG
rnacentral:rRNA from 1 species